rnacentral:rRNA from 1 species
GACGAACGCUGGCGGCGUGCCUAACACAUGCAAGUCGUACGGGACCGGGGGCAACUCCGGUUCAGUGGCAGACGGGUGCGUAACACGUGAGGAACUUGUCCGGUGGCGGGGGAUAGCCGGCCCAACGGCCGGGUAAUACCGCAUACGCUCGUUCGGGGGCAUCCCUGGGCGAGGAAAGCAGCCGCAAGGUUGCGCCGACGGAGGGCCUCGCGACCUAUCAGCUUGUUGGCGGGGUAACGGCCCACCAAGGCGACGACGGGUAGCUGGUCUGAGAGGAUGAUCAGCCACAUUGGGACUGAGACACGGCCCAGACUCCUACGGGAGGCAGCAGUGGGGAAUAUUGCGCAAUGGCCGCAAGGCUGACGCAGCGACGCCGCGUGUGGGAUGACGGUCUUCGGAUUGUAAACCACUGUCGAAGGGGGAACGAAUACAGGGCUUCGAUAAGGAGACCCUGGGUGACGGUACCU